rnacentral:rRNA from 1 species
CCUACGGGUGGCUGCAGUGGGGAAUAUUGCACAAUGGGCGCAAGCCUGAUGCAGCCAUGCCGCGUGUGUGAAGAAGGCCUUCGGGUUGUAAAGCACUUUCAGCGGGGAGGAAGGCGUUAAGGUUAAUAACCUUGGCGAUGGACGUUACCCGCAGAAGAAGCACCGGCUAACUCCGUGCUAGCAGCCGCGGUAAUACGGAGGGUGCAAGCGUUAAUCGGAAUUACUGGGCGUAAAGCGCACGCAGGCGGUCUGUCAAGUCGGAUGUGAAAUCCCCGGGCUCAACCUGGGAACUGCAUUCGAAACUGGCAGGCGAGAGUCUUGUAGAGGGGGGUAGAAUUCCAGGUGUAGCGGUGAAAUGCGUAGAGAUCUGGAGGAAUACCGGUGGCGAAGGCGGCCCCCUGGACAAAGACUGACGCUCAGGUGCGAAAGCGUGGGGAGCAAACAGGAUUAGAUACCCGGGUAGUC